AAUGAACGCUGGCGGCGCGCCUAAUACAUGCAAGUCGAGCGAGAAGACGUAGCAAUACGUUUGUAAAGCGGCGAACGGGUGAGGAAUACAUGGGUAACCUACCCUAGAGUGGGGAAUAACUAGCCGAAAGGUUAGCUAAUACCGCGUACGCUCCUUGGACUUCGGUUCAGGGAGGAAAGCGAUACCGAGGGUAUCGCGCUCUUGGAUGGGCUCAUGUCCUAUCAGCUUGNGGUGAGGUAACGGCUCACCAAGGCUUCGACGGGUAGCUGGUCUGAGAGGACGAUCAGCCACACUGGCACUGCGACACGGGCCAGACUCCUACGGGAGGCAGCAGUAAGGAAUAUUGCGCAAUGGGCGAAAGCCUGACGCAGCGACGCCGCGUGGGGGAUGAAGGUCUUCGGA
rnacentral:rRNA from 1 species